GAGGGUGCCGGUCAGCGGAGCCGUGCGAUGUAUUUGAAAAGCAAUCAGUCCGACCUUCCCCCAUAGAUUCAUCGGAAGGCAUUCUCUUCCUCUUCCUCCAGCUGCCUGAAAAUCAUAUGCGUGGUUUUUCCUGUUUCCUGCUCUGUAGCUGACAUCAGGGGAGCAACGUGAACACAGGAAAAUGGAAAUCAACAUUUGAAACUUUUAAAUGGAAGCUUUAUUGGGGUUCCACAUAUGGAAAACUGCAAAUAGCAGAAGUAUGUGACUCAAUAAAUUAUUCUGGAGUGACCACAUCCUCUAACUGCCUCCCAGGACAAGACGGAGAAUGUGAACAAUGCUCCUGAAGGCCCCUUUCCCUCAAAGAAUCACUGCAAUUGAAGGAAAAAUGCUCCAUGUCCCCUCUGCCAGUUGGUGUUUAUCAAAGGACAACGGAGGAAGAGAGACAAAGUGCCUGGAUGUGUGUGUUAAUCAAGAGUUGUCAGGACCCUGCCUCUAAAAGAAAGCGCUAAAAUGAUGCUUUUGACAAGACUUUUCUCAAAGUGGAUGCAGUCUAAGGGUUGGAAAACAAGGCCCAAUCAGGCUAGGUCUGACUUGUCGCCUGCUUUUGUAAAUAAAGUUUUAUUGGCUCACA
rnacentral:lncRNA from 1 species